rnacentral:lncRNA from 1 species
UUGCCCAAGGAGAGUGGGCUAUGCGGAAGGAAAGAGAGAACUAGAAAGGAUUAUCUUGAUUAUUUAUAGAAAAGGUGGUGCUCCUUGACAUCCUAUGAAAGAAUGUCCUUGAAGAAAGAUGCUAAAAUGUUCAACGAUUUUUUUAAAGCAGAAAGUCUGAAGUAGCUGCGGUGAGUGACAGCUGAACACAAAUUUCUGACUACUAGAAGAGGAGUCAUGUUAACAGUACAUAAAUAUUCACAGAGAUGGUAUCUUUAAAUAUAACUUGCAAAUAAUCUGACAGUAAAAAUGUAUUUUUAUGCUACCCAGUGGAAUUAAAGUGAACUUUUC